GGCUUUGUAGUGUAAUUGAUAGCGCGCCUGUCCGGCAAACCGGAGUCGUAAGUUCGAAUCCUGCCGAAUUCA
rnacentral:tRNA from 1 species